CAGUAGCCGCGGAAUACAGAGGGUGCGAGCGUUAAUCGGAUUUACUGGGCGUAAAGCGUGCGUAGGCGGCUUUUUAAGUCGGAUGUGAAAUCCCUGAGCUUAACUUAGGAAUUGCAUUCGAUACUGGGAAGCUAGAGUAUGGGAGAGGAUGGUAGAAUUCCAGGUGUAGCGGUGAAAUGCGUAGAGAUCUGGAGGAAUACCGAUGGCGAAGGCGGCCCCCUGGACAAAGACUGACGCUCAGGUGCGAAAGCGUGGGGAGCAAACAGGAUUAGAUACCCGCGUAGUCCCUGUCUCUUAUACC
rnacentral:rRNA from 1 species